UGUGUUGUAGCUCAGUGGUGAAGUGCUUGUCUCACACAUUUGAGGCACUGGGUUUGAUCCUCAGCACCACAU
rnacentral:tRNA from 1 species